CUGUUUAACAAGCUGUCCGCCCUUGCUGGUUUCUUCAUUUUCUCACGUUUUGUUUAAUUAAAAAACUGAGGCUGGGGCUACAGAUCAGUGGCUAGCCCUUGCCUAUCAUGCCCUAGAUUUAUACUCCACAGAGAAAAAACAAAAUUCUAAAUUCACCAUUACAGCACACAUUGACAGCAAAGCAAUCAGAAGAAAGCAGGCACACCUGUCACCUAUGCUGACCCUGAGAGCGCCACAUCUGGGUCCUCAGACAAAGAACACCUGCAGAUUCCACCCUUGAUGCAGUUCUGGUCCUGAACCCAAUAAAAAGGAGAAGAGGAGCUGAGCACCGACACUCAUCUCUCUCUGCUUCCUGACUGUGGAUGCCUCAACCUGUUGAUUCCCCACCAUGAUGGACUGUAGCCUUGAACUGCGAGCCAAAGUGAACCCUAUCUCCCUAUGGAUAGUCUGGGGUCAUCCUCCUGCCCAGCCACUUCCUUCCUCCUUUCCAAUUCAGAAGCCAUCAUCCUCUGGACAGCGAACAUCCUGUAUCCAUGGAGAUUGGGUCCUGGAAUCACCUGCAACCCUGCUGAAGUUCUGUGUCAAGGCCAAGCAGCCAUGUGUUAUAUGAGCCACACUCUCCACUUAGAGAAAGCCGAGCAUCUGAGAAGUUACUGGCAAAUGAGAUGGAAAAUGCCCAAGAGUUUCUUACUCCUUUCCAAAGAAAACAAACCUGCUGGAGACUGCACAAACAGAAAAUACUGGUCCUGCAUUGUGUAAAUUAUAUCUGCUUAAUGAUUCCUUCUAUGAACUAUUAAAGUUCUAAUAGUGUGUGCAUUUAGAUCUCCAUCAUUUAUUUUGACCCCCAUAGUGCUGAGCAAGUGCUAUGUCGCUGAACCACCC